rnacentral:lncRNA from 1 species
AAGGGUUCGAGCAGUGGGGGAGGCGACCUAAUUCCCAGAGGAAGGAAUUGGGCCAAAUCCACUUGGGAAGAACGGGUUCAAGUCCCGCGAACCAAGGGGACAAAUCCUGCCCGGAACCCGUGAGGGUGAAGGGAUGUUAAGAGCUGCUCACAGUGGCUGGGCCCAGAGGAAGGUCACGGGCUGUGAGCGGUAACAGGGCCGGU